rnacentral:rRNA from 1 species
AUUGAACGCUGGCGGCAUGCUUUACACAUGCAAGUCGAACGGCAGCGGGGAGGAGCUUGCUUCUCUGCCGGCGAGUGGCGAACGGGUGAGUAAUACAUCGGAACGUGUCGAGAAGAGGGGGAUAACCACCCGAAAGGGUGGCUAAUACCGCAUAAAUUCUGAGGAAGAAAGCUGGGGACCUAGGAAUAGGCCUAGCGCUUUUUGAGCGGCCGAUGUCGGAUUAGCUAGUUGGUGAGGUAAAGGCUCACCAAGGCGAAGAUCUGUAGCGGGUCUGAGAGGAUGAUCCGCCACACUGGGACUGAGACACGGCCCAGACUCCUACGGGAGGCAGCAGUGGGGAAUUUUGGACAAUGGGGGCAACCCUGAUCCAGCCAUGCCGCGUGUAUGAAGAAGGCCUUAGAGUUGUAAAGUACUUUUGUUAGGGAAGAAAAGUCAGCUGUGAAUAAUGGCUGAUACUGACGGUACCUAAAGAAUAAGCACCGGCUAACUACGUG